AAUAAUAUUAAGUAGGCCUAAUAAUGAACAAUCCAUCCUGUAAAUGUAACCUCCGUGUAAGGUGAGCACAGGGUGGCAGCUGCUUCCUGCAGUGUUUUCCUGCUCAGGUCAGUCUCUCCAGGGGAAGCAAUGACAAAAACUAGGCCAGAUGGUGCAGGAGAGCGAGGCAGAGUGGGCUGCUCUCAACCCGACCAACUGCACUGCAUUCAAGCAUGGGAGCUGAGCAGCAUUCCAAAACAGUGAGGGAAAGACAUUACAGCAGCCAUUUCCUGAGAGGAGGGGAGGAAAGCUCUUACAAGGCACUUCUUAAUAGGAUCGCUGAGCGCUGAGGCCUUAAGCAGACUACUCGUCUCCAAACAUCUUCAGGGAUAAAAUACAACCUUGGGUUUAGACAGUGUAAAACAUCUUUUUUUUCUCCCUUAGAAAUAGAGAUUGUGUGGGAAGUGUGCGAUUUUUCAAUGUUAACAGCGCAGGUUUAUAAAUG